ACAUUCCUUCUCUUCUCCCUACACUCCACCCUCUCCAAUAGCCAUCCCCCUCUCGAUCUCAUCCUCGAGCCGCCAUUAAAUCCGAUAUCUCUUUCAAGGUCUGGUUAUAAAUGCAUUGUGUUUAAUUUUUUUUUUUUUAUUGUUUAUCGAUUAAAAAUUUUGAUUGUAUAUGUGUUUAAUUUUUGUGGCAUAGAUGCAUUAUGUUUGUUAACUUAUUGCUAAAUUAGUAAUACAUAAAUAAAUCAUUGGCUUUUCGAGGUUUGUAAAAUUGUAAAUUCUUGAUAUUUUGUUCCAAUAUUUUGCUCAUGGGAGAUGAAGAUGCAAUGUUUGUCAUUACAAAGGCUGUGGUGAAUGAAGAUGCCAAAGGGAGAUGUGACCUAUGACUCUUAAAUACAAAUCCUUUUAAAGAAUGCAUGCAGGUUGUAAACAAUUUUAAAGCUUGUUAGGAGGGAUUCGAGGAAUGCCGAAAAUUACAGUUCUUUGGAAUAGUUUAACUGUACUAGCAUGUACCCGCGCAAUGCGGUGGCGGCGACAGUGGUUUAGUGGUGUCGGUGACGAGUGGUGAUGGCAUCGACAAUUGGUGUUAAGUAGUGUAACCAUGUAAGUUGAUUUAAUGAUGAUAGUGGAAAUAUUUUAAAAGAUAAGGACUUAGAGUAUAAAUUAGAGGGUGUUUAUUAAGGGUAUUUAGUACUUUUGCAUCUAACCAUUUUUUAACACUUUCCAAAAAUAGGAGGUUGAUACUUAUUAUAAAGGAGUAUAGAUAAGUAAUCUUCGGAUGGAUAGGUUUGCCAUGUAAUUGUAUAGUUUAAUUGUAUAAGUAAUCUUUUACAGUUUAACUGGAUCAAGUUUGCUAUGCUGAUUAUUGUCAAGCUCUUUUACAGGAUGGCGCUGAUAGCUUUAAAGCUCGCUCACAGGUGGGCAAGUCAUGGAGCUGGUUGUGCCGGGAGCACCAAAAAUGUCUAUGAGUCUAUGGUUGUUAUCAUGAGCCUAUGGGUCCUUGAAUGCAUUAAAGAAAUAUUUAUGUAAGCACGUAAAAAAGGAGGAUGGACACAGGUUGAAGAUAUGCUCUUAUAUGAGAGAAUCCCGAUUAAUAUUUUAGUUGAAGUCUCUCAAACAAGCAAACAGAGGCACAUACCUUACAGAGAUUCCAAAUCUGAUAUGGUAUGCUUGAUCAAGGUGGAAAUGGGAAGUUGCGCCGUUGCGGGUACGAGUUGUCAAGAGCUUGCUGCCAAAGUUGCCAAGAAGUAUGCUAUUUCUACGUUCUAUAUGUUUUU